GACGAUCGCUGGCGGCGUGCCUAACACAUGCAAGUCAACUUGACGGAAGGAGCAAUCUGACCGUAGAGUGGCGCAAGGGUGCGUAACGCGUAAGUAACUUGCCCAAGGUAAGGAAUAACGUCGAGAAAUCGGCGCUAAUACCUCAUAAUGCAGCGGAUCCGCAUGGAUAUGUUGUUAAAGGUUUACCGCCUUGGGAUAGGCUUGCGUCUGAUUAGCUAGUUGGUGUGGUAACGGCACACCAAGGCUACGAUCAGUAACUGGUCUGAGAGGAUGAUCAGUCACACUGGAACUGAGACACGGUCCAGACUCCUACGGGAGGCAGCAGUGAGGAAUAUUGGGCAAUGCUCGAAAGAGUGACCCAGCAACGCCGCGUGGAGGAUGAAGGUAUUCUAUAUCGUAAACUCCUGUGAGAGCAGACGAAAGACAGAUUAUAAUCUGGAUGACUGUAUGCUCAGAGGAAGCCCCGGCUAACUACGUCG
rnacentral:rRNA from 1 species